rnacentral:rRNA from 1 species
CGGCGUGCCUAAUACAUGCAAGUCGAACGGUCUUUCUAUGGAAGCUUGCUUCCACUGAGAAGAUAGUGGCGAACGGGUGAGUAACAACGUGGGUAAACCUGCCCAUAAGAGGGGGGAAGUAACAAUCCGGAAACGGGUGCUAAUACCGCAUAGUUUUCUUGAUCGCAUGAUUGAGAAAGGAAAGACGGCCUUUGUGCUGUCGCUUAUGGAUGGACCCGCGGCGUAUUAGUUAGUUGGUGAGGUAAUGGCUCACCAAGACGAUGAUACGUAGCCGACCUGAGAGGGUGAUCGGCCACAUUGGGACUGAGACACGGCCCAAACUCCUACGGGGGGCAGCAGUAGGGAAUCUUCCGCAAUGGACGAAAGUCUGACGGAGCAACGCCGCGUGAGUGAAGAAAAGGUUUUCGGAUCGUAAAACUCUGUUGUCAGAGAAGAACAAGUUGGAGAGUAACUGCUCCAGCCUUGACGGUAUCUGACCAGAAAGCCACGGCUAACUACGUGCCAGCCGCUGC